rnacentral:rRNA from 1 species
AUUGAACGCUGGCGGCAUGCCUUACACAUGCAAGUCGAACGGCAGCACGGACUUCGGUCUGGUGGCGAGUGGCGAACGGGUGAGUAAUGCAUCGGAACGUGCCAUUGAGUGGGGGAUAACGUAGCGAAAGUUGCGCUAAUACCGCAUAUUCUGUGAGCAGGAAAGCAGGGACCGCAAGGCCUUGCGCUCUUUGAGCGGCCGAUGUCAGAUUAGCUAGUUGGUGAGGUAAAGGCUUACCAAGGCGACGAUCUGUAGCGGGUCUGAGAGGAUGAUCCGCCACACUGGAACUGAGACACGGUCCAGACUCCUACGGGAGGCAGCAGUGGGGAAUUUUGGACAAAUGGGGGCAACCUGAUCCAGCCAUACCGCGUGAGUGAAGAAGGCU